rnacentral:rRNA from 1 species
GACGAACGCUGGCGGCGUGCUUAACACAUGCAAGUCGAACGGAAAGGCCCUGCUGUUGUGGGGUGCUCGAGUGGCGAACGGGUGAGUAACACGUGAGUAACCUGCCCUUGACUUUGGGAUAACUUCCGGAAACUAGGGCUAAUACCGGAUAGGAGCUCCUGCUGCAUGGUGUGGGUUGGAAAGUUUCGGCGGUUGGGGAUGGACUCGCGGCUUAUCAGCUUGUUGGUGGGGUAGUGGCGUACCAAGGCUUUGACGGGUAGCCGGCCUGAGAGGGUGACCGGGCACAGUGGGACUGGGGAAGGGGCCAGACGGCUACGGGAGGCAGGGGUGGGAAACAUUGCACGAUGGGCGGAAGCCUGGAGGAGGAACGUCGCGUGGGGGAUGACGGCUUUCGGGUUGGAAACCGCUUUCGCCUGAGACGAAGCGUGAGUGACGGUAACGGAUAAAGAAGCACCGGCUAACUACGUG